rnacentral:lncRNA from 1 species
AGUUUUAAUCUCAUCCUUGACAACCCAAUAAGCAACUCCAUUCACUAUCACAUCACAAACAGGCCAAUUAAGGAUAAAAUUGCCAUCGACUUUAAUCUUCCUCCAAGAAUCUAAAUUAGAAGACCACACUUGAGCUCACAUUUUGAUUUUUUUGACGCUCAAAAUCAAAAUCAAAAUCAAUCUUCACUACCUUGUAAUCAUCAGCAAUGGAAUCCCAACCAAACCCUAUGGAAUAAGUAAUUAGACCUCUACCA